UUGAACGCUGGCGGCAUGCCUUACACAUGCAAGUCGAACGGCAGCACGGGAGCAAUCCUGGUGGCGAGUGGCGAACGGGUGAGUAAUAUAUCGGAACGUGCCCAGUCGUGGGGGAUAACGUAGAGAAACUUACGCUAAUACCGCAUACGAUCUACGGAUGAAAGCAGGGGACCGCAAGGCCUUGCGCUCAUGGAGCGGCCGAUGGCAGAUUAGGUAGUUGGUGGGAUAAAAGCUUACCAAGCCGACGAUCUGUAGCUGGUCUGAGAGGACGACCAGCCACACUGGGACUGAGACACGGCCCAGACUCCUACGGGAGGCAGCAGUGGGGAAUUUUGGACAAUGGGCGCAAGCCUGAUCCAGCCAUGCCGCGUGCAGGAUGAAGGCCUUCGGGUUGUAAACUGCUUUUGUACGGAACGAAAAGACUCCUUCUAAUAAAGGGGGUCCAUGACGGUACCGUAAGAAUAAGCACCGGCUAACUACGU
rnacentral:rRNA from 1 species